GGUAGCAUAAUCAUUAGUUUCUUAAUUGGGGGCUGGAAUGAAGGGUUUGACGUGGAAGAGGCUUUUCUUGUGGAAUUUUUGAAUUUUAGUUUGUUGUGAGGGCUCAACAGUGGGGGCAGGGGACGAGAAGACCCUAUAAAGCUUUAGAUUUUAUUUUAGUCUUUUUUGUUUUGGUUUUUGGUUGGGGCAACUGGUGUAAUAAAAUAGCUUUUAUUUAUUGUAUUUUUUAUUAGACGGAGGUUUGAUCCAUUUAGGUUUAGUGAUACUUAGACAAGCUACUUUAGGGAUAACAGCAUAAUUAUACCGGAGAGCACCUAUCGGUGGUGUAGUUUGUGACCUCGAUGUUGAAUUAGGAUUACCUGGUGUUUGUAGGAGAACAUUUAGGGGGUCUGUUCGACCCUUAAAAUCCUACG
rnacentral:rRNA from 1 species